UUCCCGACAACCGUGUUUGUAAAAUCAGUGUGAGACGAGCCAGAUGAUCAUUUUAAUAGUUAAUAAUUCUCUUUUUUUCUUGCAACAGAGCCGCUAUAAAAGCUGCUUCAAGUCAGAAUGUCACUCAGAAAUUUUCAAACCUCAGAAGCAAAAAUUCUCAGAUUUUCUGUAAAGACGACAGAGUUCAUCGACAUGAAGCCCGUCAUUCUGGCUGUUUUGGUUCUGCUGCUCGUCAGUCAGAAUGAGGCGUUGAAGUGUUUCUGUGAAAACACAACGGUUUGUGACGGACCCGUC